rnacentral:rRNA from 1 species
UACGACGGGGGCUAGCGUUGUUCGGAAUUACUGGGCGUAAAGCGCACGUAGGCGGGUACUUAAGUCAGGGGUGAAAUCCCGGGGCUCAACCCCGGAACUGCCUUUGAUACUGGGUAUCUCGAGUCCGGAAGAGGUGAGUGGAAUUCCGAGUGUAGAGGUGAAAUUCGUAGAUAUUCGGAGGAACACCAGUGGCGAAGGCGGCUCACUGGUCCGGUACUGACGCUGAGGCGCGAAAGCGUGGGGAGCAAACAGG